UACGUAGGGUCCGAGCGUUGUCCGGAAUUAUUGGGCGUAAAGGGCUCGUAGGCGGUUUGUCGCGUCGGGAGUGAAAACACCGGGCUUAACUCGGUGCUGGCUUUCGAUACGGGCAGACUAGAGGUAUUCAGGGGAGAACGGAAUUCCUGGUGUAGCGGUGAAAUGCGCAGAUAUCAGGAGGAACACCGGUGGCGAAGGCGGUUCUCUGGGAAUGUCCUGACGCUGAGGCGCGAAAGCGUGGGGAGCAAACAGG
rnacentral:rRNA from 1 species